GCGGGUGUGGGGGUGUCUCCCGUGGGCGGGUGGGGGACACGGGGAGCUGCACCCCCUCCGCUGCGGCAGGCGAGCCUCGCCAGCGCAGCCCCCGGGGAGUUCCCUGAGAGCGGGAAAGGGGGAAAGGAGGCGGGCGUCCCCGACUCGCCGGAGAUCCCCUUGAGCCGCGCUCGCCCCGGGCCGCUGCCCUCAGCUCCAGCCCCGCCCCUGGAGCCUGUCCCGUAGCCCCAGGCCCCCCCCAGGCCCUGUCGUGAGGGCAGCGAGCUGGCCCGCAACUGCACCUCCAGCAGCCCCUGCGGAUGGAGGGGCCGUGGCCCGGGGUGGGCUCCCAGCUGACAAUCUCCGUUUCUUCUUUCCCCCUUGCGGAGGCUGCGCUGAGGAUGCGGUUGUCCGUGCCCCCCCCGGGGAUGCUGCUGACUGCCCCCGCCUCAGGCUCGCGUGGGGCUCUCUCUGGCCUCGUGCACCUUGCGGCGUGGGAGCAAAAAGGAACAGGCGGAUCGUUUACUGGCUAUGGGCAGGAGUUGCCCUUGUUAUAGGUCGAUUAAGGCAAAUCACAUCCAGAUAUGGGUUAAUGAAUCUUUAUUAAGCAAAAGCAAAAUUCUUCUGUUAUUUAUCACACCCUGGCUGAAGCUGGAGAGGCCGGAGAAAGAUAACGAAGAAUAAAUCGAUGGCCAGCCAGCCAGCAGCUGCCUCCCACUGCAGGAAGAGAGAACCAGCCUCUCCGGGUGAGGAAGGAUCCCGCUUCGCAGUCUGCAGCUCAGACCACCAACGUGCGCCGCAGGGUCUGUGUGUCUCACUGAAAGCGCGGUGGAGGACAGCCAAGUGACUGGAGCUAGAGAAGAGGAAGGGAGGAGAGAAGGAGAAAAAAAGUGUCUGAACCGGCAAAUUCUCCUGGCAGCGCCGAGAGCGAGAACUGUGUGUCCUGCACCCUGCUGCUCAUUUUGUCAGUCUCUACCUCAGCCCAGCAGCCCAUUGCUCCGGGGACGCUGAGCAUGGCUGCGGGAACAACUGCUGCGGCGUCCCAGGGGCAGGGGGAGCGUCGGGGGCUGCAGGCCCCAGAGCAGCCUCGCUGCUGGGACUUGGUACGUCCGUGACUGAAUAAAUGCUUGCCGCUUCCUGGCU